GUGUAAUCCAAAUUUUAACUUUUAUCAUGUGUGCAUUUGCUACGUGCUUAAAAGUACAGGACAACCUGUGCUGAAGACCUCAGCUGAACUUUAGACUUAGAAGACUGUUAUACAUAUAUGGAAACAAGGGAAGCUAGAAUUAGCGAUUUCUAUGAAGGGAUUGUAUUUUCAAAACUGCAUGACGCAGAGGUGAUUAGAUCUUAUCUCGCCCGCUAUUUGGAGCUAUUAACUCCCUUUGUGGGUUUCUAAUCAGAGAAGAACGAGACGGUUGACCUUUUGGGUAAGGUAGUUAGACUUUGGACAAUCAAGCUGCUGAUCUGCGGAAAUAGGGAACCGAAAUUACCUUGCAAGAGCUUAAUGUAUUUUCAGAGAAGAUGACUAAUGUUUUAAUAGCUGUCUGAGACGUGACUGCAUAGAUGUGCCAUUAGUUUGGUGCAGACUUGCAGGCUAUAAGAGGAGAACUCACCUCUCUUCUUUAUUCUUCUUCUUCUUCUCCUCCUCUCUCUCUUUCACUCAGACUGAGUUCAGCCUAGACCCUUCUAGCUGGACUUAGUCUUUUCUCACCUUUUUUCUUCCUAUAUUCCGGGGCUCACUUGAACUCUUUGAUCAUCUUACAGGUUUUUAUUCAUAUCAGAUACAUUGUCUUUAUUGUUGCUAUUUUGAAAUGCAGGUAUUUUAUAUGCUUGUUGUAUACUUUGUAUUAUUAUUAUUUUUAACAUCUUGAUUACUUUUGAAUAUUAUAAUGCAUUUUGUAUUACUUUUAAUUGGGCAACAUCCAUCAUACAUGGAUUGCUUUUAAAACUAUAUUAAUUUUGGGAUUUGUAUUUUCUAUAUUUGGAGCUGAUUUUAAUACUUACUAAUCUGUUUGCCAGUUAUGAGUUGUAUUCUCAUUUCCUAUAUUCUUUGAAUAAAUUUGCAUACUAAAAUACCACCCCACCGUCUGACCAGGAUUGAAGUCUCUAAUUUUUUGCAUCAGUUUUUGGAGGCACCCGCUGGAGAUCGUUGAAGUUUUCAUUUCAUUAAGUUUUGAUGCAACGCAAGACAAAAUAAAGAGAGGUAUGAGUGCAUGCUGAUACGGAAUCUAUCCUGCGUACAUUUACCACACGACUGGUUCUAAGGGUGACCCUUUUGGUGUGACUUCUGCAACAGUGCAGCUCAUCGACGAUUCGGGAGUGGUUGCUGUGCUCGUAGCUGGACAUCAGUGUUUGAUCCCAAGAACUGGACGCAUCGUCAUCACAUCGCACGCUAACUCUACAUCAUCUGAGAGACUUGUGCUUUAAUCUACCAGCUGAUAUAUAGAUUUACAAAUCCCUACAUCAAGAUGCCUCACAAGAUUAUUGAUCAAA